ACUGUGGUAGUUAAGAGCACAGGGGCAGGGCAGAAAGAGUGGGUCAGGAACAGAGAGCUCCUUGAUCCUGAUCCGUGAGAGAUGCUCAAUGACUGCUCGUGAACAUUACCACCAUCCCAUUAUGAUGAUUGUCACUGUCACAUCAUCAUCAUCAUCAUCAUCAUCAGCAGCAGCAGCAGCAGCAGCAGCAUCAUCCCCAGACUGGAGCUUUCUUCUCUAAGAAGAUACCGCGCAUUCCAGAAUAUUACAUUUCCUGUAUUUGUCAUGCCUAAAUAGCUGUGGAAAGAAGGACCAUCUAUGGAGUGGAAUCAGCCUCCAUUGUCCAGAGGACAUAGAGUGCGUAGGAGACAGCGGAAAGCCAGAAGACCUGGGUGUGAACUCUGCCUCUGCACCUUACUUUCCGAAUGGCCUUGGUCUGCAUACAACUGUGUGAGGUGACCUAAUGAUGCAAGCAACUCCAGGCACGGCUGCAUUUUGGAGUUUCACUCUGUUUACCACUUGGCUUGGAAGGUUGCAAUUGUCAGAAGUCAGAGAAGAUGGAGGGAAAAAGCAGAAGGCACAUUGGAGCGAAAAGAAGAGGGACAGAUAAACCCUAGCUGUGUGAAGAGGCUCUGAUCAAAUUAAAAUUAACAGAUGGUCCUGAUAAUAUGUCUCUGGAAAGUGGUAUAAGUAAUAGGAACUGAAUUUAAGCCAAUUUGAGAUGUUUCUGGAUUCCAUGCCCACAGUCCUGAAGCUUUCACCUGGACACUUGCUCUGAGAAGUGACCCUCCCCUCCCUGAGGACUUUCAGCUGCCGGGAAUUUUCCAGACCAGACCCCACCUGCUCGGUGUUACCAAUCUCUCAAGCUUUGCCAAUAGGUUCAUAACCUUCCUCCUCUGCUGCCAAUUUAAUUGUAUGCUUAUAUAGUUGUAAAGUAAAU